UGAGCAAUCUGCCCUUCUCUUCGGAAUAAGCGUUGGAAACGACGUCUAAUGCCGAAUACGACCUCCUUUCGCAUGAUCGGAGGUGGAAAGCUCCGGCGGAGAAGGAUGAGCUCGCGGCCUAUCAGCUAGUUGGUGUGGGUAAUGGCCCACCAAGGCGACGACGGGUAGCCGGCCUGAGAGGGCGACCGGCCACACUGGGACUGAGACACGGCCCAGACCUCCGUACGGGGAGGNAGCG
rnacentral:rRNA from 1 species